GUUUGAUCAUGGCUCAGGAUGAACGCUAGCGGCAGGCUUAACACAUGCAAGUCGAGGGGCAGCGGGGAGGAAGCUUGCUUUCUCCGCCGGCGACCGGCGCACGGGUGAGUAACACGUAUGCAACCUGCCCCUGUCAGGGGGACAACCCGCCGAAAGGCGGGCUAAACCCGCGUAUAUGCCACCGGGGCAUCCCGGAGGCAGGAAAGGCUUCGGCCGGACAGGGAUGGGCAUGCGGCGCAUUAGGCAGUAGGCGGGGUAACGGCCCACCUAACCGACGAUGCGUAGGGGUUCUGAGAGGAAGGUCCCCCACACUGGUACUGAGACACGGACCAGACUCCUACGGGAGGCAGCAGUGAGGAAUAUUGGUCAAUGGUCGGGAGACUGAACCAGCCAAGCCGCGUGAGGGAUGAAGGUACAGAGUAUCGUAAACCUCUUUUGUCAGGGAACAAAGGCGGGGACGCGUCCCCGGAUGAGUGUACCUGAANAAAAAGCAUCGGCUAACUCCGUGCCAGCAGCCGCGGUAAUACGGAAGGAUGCGAGCGUUAUCCGGAUUUNNUUGGGUUUAAAGGGUGCGCAGGCGGUCUGUUAAGUCAGCGGUCAAAGCCCGGGGCUCAACCCCGGCCCGCCGUUGAAACUGACAGUCUCGAGUUGGAGAGAAGUAUGCGGAAUGCGCGGUGUAGCGGUGAAAUGCAUAGAUAUCGCGCAGAACUCCGAUUGCGAAGGCAGCAUGCCGGCUCCACACUGACGCUGAGGCACGAAAGCGUGGGUAUCGAACAGGAUUAGAUACCCUGGUAGUCCACGCAGUAAACGAUGAAUGCUGGCUGUCCGGGGGGACUGACCCCUGGGUGGCGAAGCGAAAGCGAUAAGCAUUCCACCUGGGGAAGUACGCCNGCAACGGUGAAACUUNAAAGGAAUUGACGGGGGCCCNCNCNAAGCGGANGAACNUGUGGNUUUAAUUCNAUGANUACNCGGAGGAACCUUNNCCCGGGCUUNAAACGGGGANGUGGCNCAGGCAANANACNCCUNUUUNCCNNCGGGANACCUCCCCNGAGGUGCUGCAUGGUUGUCGUCAGCUCGUGCCGUGAGGUGUCGGCUUAAGUGCCAUAACGAGCGCAACCCCCGCGUGCAGUUGCUAACAGUCAACGCUGAGGACUCUGCACGGACUGCCGGCGCAAGCCGCGAGGAAGGCGGGGAUGACGUCAAAUCAGCACGGCCCUUACGUCCGGGGCGACACACGUGUUACAAUGGGUGGUACAGCGGGAAGCCAGGCGGCGACGCCGAGCGGAACCCGAAAUCCACUCUCAGUUCGGAUCGGAGUCUGCAACCCGACUCCGUGAAGCUGGAUUCGCUAGUAAUCGCGCAUCAGCCAUGGCGCGGUGAAUACGUUCCCGGGCCUUGUACACACCGCCCGUCAAGCCAUGGGAGCCGAGGGCGCUUGAAGUGCGUCGCCGCGAGGCNCUNCCUAGAGCGAAAUCGGUGACUGGGGCUAAGUCGUAANCAAGGUAACC
rnacentral:rRNA from 1 species